rnacentral:rRNA from 1 species
UACGUAGGUGGCAAGCGUUGUCCGGAAUUAUUGGGCGUAAAGGGUGCGUAGGCGGUCUUUUAAGUGGGAUGUGAAAUACCUAGGCUUAACUUAGGAGUGGCAUUCCAAACUGGAAGACUAGAGUGCAGGAGAGGAAAGUGGAAUUCCCAGUGUAGCGGUGAAAUGCGUAGAGAUUGGGAGGAACACCAGUGGCGAAGGCGACUUUCUGGACUGUAACUGACGCUGAGGCACGAAAGCGUGGGGAGCAAACAGG